UGGAUGGACAGAGAUCUUCACUACAGACAGUCUGACACUGAGUUGUGAGAUUCAGGGAAUCUCUGCUGAGUGGAACUACACAUGGUACAGAGACGGAGAGCAGAUUCCACUGGAUCACACUGCAGACAGAUACACAGUGAGAUCUGGGAAUGGAUCCUAUCAGAGUGAAUAUAAGUGCAGAGGGAACAGGAAAAAGAGACCCUUAUUCUCCAACAUCAGUGAAGGUUUGACACCAAACACUAUCAGGUUUUACUGUAUUCUGGGGCUUUCUGGUGCUCUUGUCAUUCUCCUAAUCAUAGUGGUGCUGGAAGUCAUUUGUGUUAAAAAAUGCAGGAAAUCAGGUCAAACCAAGAAACAGCUCAACAAAGACAAAUUUUACUCCAAGGUGAAUCCGGAACGUGUAAGUUCAGAUCACACAUUACUAUCUGAGGCCAUAUAUGAGGAAAUAGAAGACAUCACAGAAAAGCAAGGUUCUCAAGCACAGGCUUCU